rnacentral:tRNA from 1 species
GCGGUGGUGGUUCAGAGGCAGAAUUCUCACUUCCACGUGAGAGACCCGGGUUCAAUUCCCAGCCAAGGCA